rnacentral:tRNA from 1 species
GCUAGCAUAGUGUAGUGUUUUGUAUGUUAGACUAUGACCCUGAAGAUCAGGGUUCAAAUCCCUACUCAGCC